CAUUUUUAUUUCUUUUAUUUAUAGAGUCCUGUGAACCAGAUGCGUGGAGUUCACGGUGGCGCCGGAGAGCGGAGCUCUCCUCUCUGCUUCCGCCCGCCCCAAGCCUCCUGCUCGCCCAGGAACCGGAGCCAGAUAUGGAAAAUAUCAAACUAUUGAGGAGACUUUGCGAAGUUCUCCAGAUUGAUUUUUGGCAAAAGUUAGAUGAGCUAGGAAUCGAUAUUCAUGCCGAGACAGUGGAGGGGGAAGUAUUGAAUGGAUUGAAUUUGGCGAUUGAGCUGCUCACAAGCAUCAAACUAAGCCGUUUUUUGCAGUGGUCUCAAACUCCAAUGCCCUGGCUCCUCCUAAAAGUUUCUCUUCUGGGUUGUAGAGGCAAUCGCCCAGUUGUCUAUUAGAAAGUUGUUCCUGCGAAAAUUUGCUACUUGGCUAAUUGAAGGGCUAGCAACUCAGCCUGCAAAGGAGAUGGAGCAGCAUUGCUAGCGGCUUGAAUAAAGAGAGCACUGUGAGAAUUUGGCAUAUGAAAAAGAACACUUCAAUUUCAGCUUUUCCAUCCAUCCAUGCUUCAUCAACGUAAUUCCUGCAAAGCUUCAUUAUUCCCUUCAUCUGAAUGUACAUGUUCUAGG